AGGACGAACGCUGGCGGCGUGCUUAACACAUGCAAGUCGAGCGGAAAGGCCCUUCGGGGUACUCGAGCGGCGAACGGGUGAGUAACACGUGAGUAAUCUGCCCCUAGCUCUGGGAUAGCUCCGGGAAAACCGGGAUUAAUACUGGAUACGACCACCUUAGACAUCUUUUGUGGUGGAAAGAAUUUCGGCUAGGGAUGAGCUCGCGGCCUAUCAGCUUGUGGUGGGUAACGCCUACCAAGGCGACGACGGGUA
rnacentral:rRNA from 1 species